rnacentral:rRNA from 1 species
CAGCAGCCGCGGGAAUACAGAGGGUGCGAGCGUUAAUCGGAUUUACUGGGCGUAAAGCGUGCGUAGGCGGCUUCUUAAGUCGGAUGUGAAAUCCCUGAGCUUAACUUAGGAAUUGCAUUCGAUACUGGGAAGCUAGAGUAUGGGAGAGGAUGGUAGAAUUCCAGGUGUAGCGGUGAAAUGCGUAGAGAUCUGGAGGAAUACCGAUGGCGAAGGCAGCCAUCUGGCCUAAUACUGACGCUGAGGUACGAAAGCAUGGGGAGCAAACAGGAUUAGAGACCCGUGUAGUCCCUGUCUCUUAUAA